AAGCGGAGGAGCAGUUGUGGUUUAAUUCGAUGAUACGCGAGGAACCUUACCUGGGCUCGAACGUAAGAUGACUGUAGGUGAAAGCUUACAUCUCUUCGGAGCAUUUUACGAGGUGCUGCAUGGUUGUCGUCAGCUCGUGCCGUGAGGUGUCGGGUUAAGUCCCAUAACGAGCGCAACCCCUACCUUUAGUUGCCAUCAGGUUAAGCUGGGGACUCUAAAGGAACUGCCUACGCAAGUAGUGAGGAAGCGGGGAUGACGUCAAAUCAGCACGGCCCUUACGUCCAGGGCUACACACGUGCUACAAUGGCCGAUACAGAGGGCAGCUACCUGGUGACAGGAUGCAAAUCUCCAAAGUCGGUCUCAGUUCGGAUCGGAGUCUGCAACCCGACUCCGUGAAGUUGGAUUCGCUAGUAAUCGCGCAUCAGCCAUGGCGCGGUGAAUACGUUCCCGGGCCUU
rnacentral:rRNA from 1 species